GCAGACACAUUCCAGCCAAUCAGCAGCAGACCCUCUCUCCCAGACCCUCCCACCUCCUGGACAGCUCACUAAGAAUGCAGCUUCACAAUGGAUGCUGUUCAGGAGGUGGGAGGGUCUGGGAGGGAGGGUCUGCUGCUGAUUGGCUGGAAUGUGUCUG
rnacentral:miRNA from 1 species